CGCGGCCUAUCAGCUUGUUGGUGAGGUAACGGCUCACCAAGGCGACGACGGGUAGCCGGCCUGAGAGGGCGACCGGCCACACUGGGACUGAGACACGGCCCAGACUCCUACGGGAGGCAGCAGUGGGGAAUAUUGCACAAUGGGCGAAAGCCUGAUGCAGCGACGCCGCGUGAGGGAUGACGGCCUUCGGGUUGUAAGCCUCUUUCAGCAGGGAAGAAGCGAAAGUGACGGUACCUGCAGAAGAAGCGCCGGCUAACUACGUGCCAGCAGCCGCGGUAAUACGUAGGGCGCAAGCGUUGUCCGGAAUUAUUGGGCGUAAAGAGCUCGUAGGCGGCUUGUCACGUCGGGUGUGAAAGCCCGGGGCUUAACCCCGGGUCUGCAUCCGAUACGGGCAGGCUAGAGUGUGGUAGGGGAGAUCGGAAUUCCUGGUGUAGCGGUGAAAUGCGCAGAUAUCAGGAGGAACACCGGUGGUGAAGGCGGAUCUCUGGGCCAUUACUGACGCUGAGGAGCGAAAGCGUGGGGAGCGAACAGGAUUAGAUACCCUGGUAGUCCACGCCGUAAACGUUGGGAACUAGGUGUUGGCGACAUUCCACGUCGUCGGUGCCGCAGCUAACGCAUUAAGUUCCCCGCCUGGGGAGUACGG
rnacentral:rRNA from 1 species